rnacentral:rRNA from 1 species
GUGGGGAAUAUUGGACAAUGGGGGCAACCCUGAUCCAGCCAUGCCGAGUGUGUGAAGAAGGCCUUUUGGUUGUAAAGCACUUUAAGCGAGGAGGAGGCUUACCUGGUUAAUACCUGGGAUAAGUGGACGUUACUCGCAGAAUAAGCACCGGCUAACUCUGUGCCAGCAGCCGCGGUAAUACAGAGGGUGCAAGCGUUAAUCGGAUUUACUGGGCGUAAAGCGCGCGUAGGUGGCUAAUUAAGUCAAAUGUGAAAUCCCCGAGCUUAACUUGGGAAUUGCAUUCGAUACUGGUUAGCUAGAGUAUGGGAGAGGAUGGUAGAAUUCCAGGUGUAGCGGUGAAAUGCGUAGAGAUCUGGAGGAAUACCGAUGGCGAAGGCAGCCAUCUGGCCUAAUACUGACACUGAGGUGCGAAAGCAUGGGGAGCAAACAGGAUUAGAUACCCUGGUAGUCC